rnacentral:rRNA from 1 species
CAGCAGCCGCGGUAAAACGGUGGGGGCUAGCGUUGUUCGGAAUUACUGGGCGUAAAGCGCACGUAGGCGGCUUGGUAAGUUAGAGGUGAAAGCCUGGAGCUCAACUCCAGAAUUGCCCUUAAGACUGCCAAGCUAGCAGGUGAGAGAGGUAAGUGGAAUUCCGAGUGUAGAGGUGAAAUUCGUAGAUAUUCGGAAGAACACCAGUGGCGAAGGCGGCUUACUGGCUCAUACUGGACGCUGAGGUGCGAAAGCGUGGGGAGCAAACAGGAUUAGAUACCCCCGUAGUCCCUGUCUCUUAUAC